UACAGAGGUCUCAAGCGUUGUUCGGAUUCAUUGGGCGUAAAGGGUGCGUAGGCGGCGCGGUAGGUCGGGUGUGAAAUCUUGGAGCUUAACUCCGAAACUGCAUUCGAUACUGCCGCGCUUGAGGACUGGAGAGGAGACUGGAAUUUACGGUGUAGCGGUGAAAUGCGUAGAUAUCGUAAGGAAGACCAGUGGCGAAGGCGGGUCUCUGGACAGUGCCUGACGCUGAGGCACGAAGGCCAGGGGAGCAAACGGG
rnacentral:rRNA from 1 species